CGGGUGAGUAACACGUGGGCAAUCUGCCCUGCACUCUGGGACAAGCCCUGGAAACGGGGUCUAAUACCGGAUACUGACCCGCUUGGGCAUCCAAGCGGUUCGAAAGCUCCGGCGGUGCAGGAUGAGCCCGCGGCCUAUCAGCUUGUUGGUGAGGUAAUGGCUCACCAAGGCGACGACGGGUAGCCGGCCUGAGAGGGCGACCGUCCACACUGGCACUGACACACUCAUCAAAAAUUUAUACGGGAGGCAGCAGUGGGGAAUAUUGCACAAUGGGCGAAAGCCUGAUGCAGCGACGCCGCGUGAGGGAUGACGGCCUUCGGGUUGUAUACCUCUUUCAGCAGGGAAGAAGCGAAAGUGACGGUACCUGCAGAAGAAGCGCCGGCUAACUACGUGCCAGCAGCCGCGGUAAUACGUAGGGCGCGAGCGUUGUCUGGAAUUAUUGGGCGUAAAGAGCUCGUAGGCGGCUUGUCACGUCGGUUGUGAAAGCCCGGGGCUUAACCCCGGGUCUGCAGUCGAUACGGGCAGGCUAGAGUUCGGUAGGGGAGAUCGGGAUUCCUGGUGUAGCGGUGAAAUGCGCAGAUAUCAGGAGGAACACCGGUGGCGAAGGCGGAUCUCUGGGCCGAUACUGACGCUGAGGAGCGAAAGCGUGGGGAGCGAACAGGAUUAGAUACCCUGCUAGUCCACGCCGUAAACGGUGGGCACUAGGUGUGGGCGACAUUCCACGUCGUCCGUGCCGCAGCUAACGCAUUAAGUGCCCCGGCCUGGGGAGUACGGCCGCAAGAUUAAAACUCAAGGAUUGACGGGGGCCCGCA
rnacentral:rRNA from 1 species